UGGGGAAUAUUAGACAAUGGGCGCAAGCCUGAUCCAGCAAUGCCGCGUGUGUGAAGAAGGCCUUCGGGUUGUAAAGCACUUUUAUCAGGAGCGAAACGCUGUCGGCUAAUACCCGGCGGAACUGACGGUACCUGAGGAAUAAGCACCGGCUAACUUCGUGCCAGCAGCCGCGGUAAUACGAAGGGUGCAAGCGUUAAUCGGAAUUACUGGGCGUAAAGCGUGCGUAGGCGGUUUCUUAAGUCUGCUGUGAAAUCCCCGGGCUCAACCUGGGAAUGGCAGUGGAUACUGGGAGGCUAGAGUGUGUCAGAGGGUGGUGGAAUUCCCGGUGUAGCGGUGAAAUGCGUAGAGAUCGGGAGGAACAUCAGUGGCGAAGGCGGCCACCUGGGACAACACUGACGCUGAGGCACGAAAGCGUGGGGAGCAAACAGGAUUAGAUACCCUGGUAGUCCACGCCCUAAACGAUGCGAACUGGAUGUUGGUCUCAACUCGGAGAUCAGUGUCGAAGCUAACGCGUUAAGUUCGCCGCCUGGGGAGUACGGUCGCAAGACUGAAACUCAAAUGAAUUGACGGGGUCAUAGCUGUUUCCUG
rnacentral:rRNA from 1 species